AGAGCGCGCCCGUCACGCGCAUGCGCGCGCAUGCGUGCACUCGCGCGCGCGCGGGCCUCCGCAGGGAAGCCGGCGCCCGCGGCGGGAGUUUGCGCGCGGUGGUCACGUGUCGGCGGCCGGGCGCGUGCGAGGAGACGGUGCGGCGCGGGUCGCUGGUGCUGGGCGAAGCGGGUGUGCGAAGCGUUAGUGACGGCACGCUCGGCCAGUGAGCGUGGCCGGGGCUACGUGCGAGGCACUGGGAAGAGACCGGCGGUGGUCGGGAAACGUGAGUGACAUGGGAUGCUCGGCGUCGCCAACCUGUCCCCAAGAGCUGCCCCCUCCCCCCGCGCGACCCUGCCCCGAUGGCCCACGACGUGCCCGGCCGCCGAGGGCAGGGCGGCCUGGGACUGCGGAGCGCCGAGGACGGGCCUCAGUCGUGCAGGUGGACAGACGGACCCACCGGACGUCCCGCUUGUAGUUGCUUUGCGCAGUGGGCGCGGUAGAGGCGGAGGAGCGUGUUCAGAACGGCGCCUCUAGUUGGGAUCCACGAAGAGGAGGUCCGCAGACGCGCCGUCCAGCGCGGAACUGAUGCGUGUGUUCUCGUGCCUUCGUUGGAGAACCGCAGCGUAGCGCCGCGGGUGCGAGGGGUUAGGGCUUCGUGCCGGGCAGUGAGCGGCCCCGCCGCACGGCGCGAUGCGGCGGUGGGCCCCUGCCCGGGCCCAGCGGUGCGCGAGACCGUCAGCCGCGGGGCUGAGGGAAUCGGGCCCAGGAGGAGCUGCUGAGGAAGCUUGCUUCGGGAGAGGAACGUUGUUAGAGCAAUGGGGUGGGGGGAGGGGGUCGUGGACAUCGAGGAUCUGAAAAUCUCAGCAAGGUUUGUGCAUCCAUGCGUGUGGAAAACCAGUGUGCAUGUAAUCUCACGUGUGUAGGAGCCGUCCCGAAAAGCCCAUCCUUGGACCACUGUGCUGAGGACCCAGCUGCACGUGUAAGGGUUAAAAACAGGUGGCGCCCGCGUCGGACAUUUAAAAUAAAGCCGGGUGUAUUGCCUGCUGUGAUGGGGACGUCCCCCAAGACAAGAAUCCAGAACGUAGGUGUGGCCAGGUGUUUGUUUGCUUUGUUUCCCUGAGGAUAGACAGGAAAAGGAGUAUCCAGCCAGGGAACUGGCUGAGUAGUUGUCUGUCUUUCGCAUUGUCCUUGUGAAGGGGAUGGAAUAAUGCGAACUCUGUGUAUGUAGCCAGGAACCAUGUGUUAUUGCAUGGUCUUUAAUGGCAUGCUCUUUUUUUUUUUUCCUUCUUUAAAGAUUUUAUUUAUUUAUUUGAGAGAGAGAGAGAGAAACAGCAUGAGAGGGGAUAGGAUCAGAGGGAGAAGCAGGCUCCCGCCGAGCUGGGAGCCCGAUGCGGGACUGGAUCCCAGGACUCCGGGAUCAUGACCUGAGCCGAAGGCAGUCACUCAACCAACUGAGCCACCCAGGCGCCCUAAUGGCAUGCUCUUUAGUGGUUUUGUUUUUAUCAGUAAAAAGAGAACUUAGAGGACAAGCCCUUCUGGAUGAUGUGUGACUUGUCACAGCCAUCCAUCUGGUUAGUGCCAGAGCCUGGGUCUCGCUUCCAGCCCAGGGUCCCUUCCCACAACCAGUGGAUGCCUACUGUUGGGGACUCCGCAGCUGUUUGGUGCCGAGCCCCAGGUGGCCACUCUUCCAUCUGCCCCAGGUCAGCUUUCCAUACUUCACAGUGACUGUUGUGAACUCUCAUCACUUAAACCUUUCCAGCCACCUUCCUUCCUGUUCUCCCUCCCAACCCCCAGUCUCACCUCUGGCUUCACCAUCCAUAGUACGUUAUAGGCACCCAACUCAUUACCAGAAGAACGAACCCUUCUUUUUCUUCACUGAGAGAGAGAAAUAUUAUCCCAGACUUUUCCUGAGCUCCCUUCUGACCAAUAGCUUGUGAAUCCCCAUAUUUGGUUCUCUCUGUGUGAAGCUCAUUCAUUCCAAAAUGUUUCUAGUGCCUUCUUAUAAAUUGAGCGGUAAUUUUUCUUUUUAACACCAAAGUAUAAAUUCCAGAUUACUUGCUAUAUAAUAUUUAGGUUGUUAACCAUGUAAGGGGCACGGAUAGGUAAGUCAUGGUAGCCUUUCACGUAUAUGCAGUUGACCCUUGAACAACACAGGCUUGAACUGUGUGAGUCCACUUAUAUGUGGAUUUUUUCAAUACAUGCAGUAUAGUAUUGUAAAUGUAUUUUCCUGAUGAUUUUGUUAACCUUUUCUCUAGCUCACUUUAUUGUAAAAGUACAGUGUAUAGUGCAUAUAACAUACAAGAUAUGUUCAUUGUUUAUUUUUUCAGUAAGACUUCUAAUUAACAGUAGGCUAUUAGUAGUUAAGUUUUCGGGGAGUCAAAAGUUAUACUUGGAAUUUUGGCUGGUGGGGUGGGCAGUGCCGGUGACCCUAACUCCCAUGUUGUUCAAGGGUCAACUGUAUUUAUCAUUGAAAUGUGGCUAGUUAAAAUCACAACUUCUGUUCUUGCAAUAAUACAACAUUUAUCUUGUGAGGCUAAGCGAAGUAGUACAUUUACUUCUUAUUUACAUAUUAUAGCAUGAGGUGAUUGAUGCCUUUCUAAUACAAAUAAAAGAUUUAUGUGUAUAAUAGCUCUGUAGCUGACUUGCACGUUAUAUGGUGGAAUUCAGUGCUAACUGAAAUGAUAGUUUUAAACUGUCUAUAACUCAGGAGAAUAGAGGCAGUUUGCAUACUGAGCUCUCUUCCUCCACUGAAUGUGGCUGUGUAUUUAGUGAAGCUCUUUGUAAAAUUUACGAAAUAGUUCUCCAAAGGUGUGAGACAGUAUUUCUGAAAUUGACCUUUCAAAAAUCCCUUUCACUUUGCUUAACCUCCGAGGAUUUUUAUGGUUGCCCAAGCUGGAUCAUUUUCUUCCUUAUGUUCAGCAAAUCAAUACCCAGAGACGCUGGUUUACCUACUUUACCUAAUUCAGGAUGAGUUCACGGCGAUGUCAUCUUGCCCUUUUCCCGCUAGAGUUCCACCCGCUGACUGGAACCACCAUUGGGUCAGCUUUGCCACUGUGAUCAAGUCAUGAAUGUCUUGGAUAAUUCAAGCCUAGUUGAACCUGGUGAAGAAAAUUGCAAGAUAAGAUCUGUCGAAUUCCAGCUGCAUCCGGGCCUUUGGUUCAGACAUUUGCUGAUUCCUAAGAAGUGUGAAGCAAGCAGCUGAGAAGCCAACAGAGAGUGACGGCUAACAGAACUAUCAGCGUUCUCACGGAACUGGGGAGACAAAAAAAAAAAUCAAGGCGACUAAGGCAACCAGGACUUGAGGGUCCAAGGUUCAGGAAAGAAAAGAGGCAAAGAGACACACAGCAGCUGCACCCCUCAAGCGAUUUGCUAAUUUGUAAGCCACCUGUGCUCAGGAGGAUGAGAAACUGAGCAAAAAGUGGCUGCCAAGAGCCUGAGAAGGUAAGCAGAUAUUUUAGCAGUUUCUCAGUGCUGGAAGACAAGAAUCGGUGUUCAUAACCCACCAGGGAAGAGCGGUCUGAUAAGCAACUGAGAAUCUACUGGGAACCAACCCUACAGGGUUCUGCCCAAGGGAAAGAGUAAACUUGAAAUAGACCAAGCCUUACAAAAACUGAAAUACAGCCUUGAAUCAGCUCCAUCCCUAGGGAAAGAGUAAACUUGAAAUAGACCAAGCCUUACAAAAACUGAAAUACAGCCUUGAAUCAGCUCCAUCCCUAUCUAAGCACCUGCCAAAAUCUAAAGCAAAUUCUGUCUGGAGGAAGAUGAACAUUAUCCAGAGUCCUUGAACUUUUUACACACUGUCUGGCAUUCAGUAAGAAAUCACCAGGUCCACCAAGAAACAAAAGCAGAAGAAAAAAAUGACAGUAGAAACAGACCCACAGAUGAUUAGAAACUAGAGUCGUCAGACCUGAAAACCACUAUAAAAGUUAUUCAAAUUUCAAGAAUAGAGGUGACAGUGGAGAAUCUUUUUUUAAAAUUUUUUUGAAAGAUUUUAUUUAUUUGACAGAGUGAGAGACAGCCAGAGAGGGAACACAAGCAGGGGGAGCUGGAGAGGGAGAAGCAGGCUUCCCUCUGAGCAGGGAGCCCAACGCGGGGCUCAAUCCCAGGACCCUGGGAUCAUGACCUGAGCCAAAGGCAGACGCUUAAUGGCUGAGCCACCCAGACACCCCAGACAGUGGAGAAUCUUUAACAGAGAACAGGAAUUUAUAAAAAUGGAUCAAAUGAAAAUUCUAGAGUUGAGAAACUCAAUAUGUAAAAUUAAGAACUCAGUAGAUGGGUUUAGUAGCUAAUUGUUGGUAGCUGAAGAUUAAUGAGCUGGAAGACACCUUUGCAUAAAAUAUCCAGAGAGAGAAAAGAGAAUGGAAAACAUAAGAGAAGAGUGCAUGAGACACCUGGGAGGUGGUGAAGGUUGUAACAUGUGGGAUUAGAGUCCCACCAGAAGUCAGACAAAGCGACAUCAUGUGCCACCCAAUGCCAUGCAUCAGAGGGGAUGCUGGUGCCCUGCUCUCUGACUCUCAGUCCCCAGUACUGGAGAAAACAGACAUCUGUGGGUUCAGCCCCCCAGUCUGUGGUAUUUUGUUAGAGAAGCCUGAGCUAAGACACUCGUAUUGAAAGGAAAACAGAUGGUCCUUUUUUCCCUUGGGGAAUUGCCUUUUGGAAGAGUUGCUUCCUGUAUUCCAGCCACACUGGCCUGUGGGAUUCUCCAACAUCCCAAGCUCUUCCCUCUGCCUAGGAACAACUCCCCCAACCACGUGCAUGGAUCCUUCCUUCCUCUUUCGGGCCCCUGCUCAGGUGUCCCAAGACUGCUCAUGACCACUUAAAACAUCUGCCUUCCCUGUCACCUUGAACACCUUUCCUGCCGUAUUUUUCUUCAAAGCACACUUCUCCCCUGACACAUCCUGUAUUUGUUUGUGAUUAGCUCUCCUUGCAGGAAUGAAUUUCUAUGACUGAGCAAUCUGUUGUGUUCCUUGUUCUAUCCCCAGUAGAGGCUUGAUAUAUAUUUGUUGAAUGAAUGAAUGAAUGAAUGAAUGGCACAUUGGAUGGCAGAGCAAAGGAUGGGAAAGAGCCUGAGUCCUUGAUGGCACCACGGAGCUGUGAAUCUAUCGGUCCUGGAGGUCGUUCAGCUCAUUCCGUCAUUGGGGGAUCCCAUUUGAGAGAAUGUUCCAGAAGAGUGAGCGAGCUGAUAAUGGAUCUCUGAAGAGGCCAGGUGUCUCUAUGGGGUUGGCUUUGUCACUGAGCCCGGGUUUGUCUUUCUUCACAUUGGGAAGAGUUGUUACGGCCCCCAUCCUCACCGGGCCCUAGAGAAGGGACAAUUGUCACUCUCUUCAGCCGGUCCUAGAGUCAGCCUGCCGUCGCGUCAGGAAUAACUGGCACCAGGCAGUGGGAAGGCUUUCGCUGGCUUAUGAGCUGCCCACAGUGACUAAGAAGCAUGAAAAUAGCAGCCGAAAAUGUCACACCCACCUCCCACCUCUCCAAGAAAAAAACGAACCAUUGGCCCAGGGGGAUGCAGUCUGUGAGCAGAAUGAAGAAGCAACAGUUUAUUUGCGGCCAGAGGAGAGGCUUCUGGAAUGAAUGUGGCUGGUGACUAUGUUUGUUGUCCGCCGACAAACAGGUCCCUCGCUGGAUCUCCGUGAAGGGAGCCCCAUCAUUUCCACUUGGCGGGGGCUGGCACAAGUUACUGGCAGGUCACCCUAUAAAUAAAAUACGCCACGCACAACCCAUCAGCCUUCGGGCCCUCAUUUCUCCAGAGAAUAUGAUUCCUGCCUUCCAUCGCAGAUGUGAAAUUUUGUAAGGAGUAAAGUGUCCAUCAGUUUCCACCCAUUUGCCGGGACAGCACCCCCUCCCCCGCCCGAUCAUGGACUGUUCUGUCUUUCUUGAGGUCCUUUCUGAUGAAGGGGAAUGGGGGGCCACCCUGUCACUCAGGGGGGCACUGAGCAGCUGUCCUUUGGUCCCUACCCCGCAAUGGGAACUUACUGGCACUUGGUCUCUUGGGUCUGACUGCAGCAUCACUUACUAUCCUCAUGGAGACCAAAGCACCUCCUCCUGCCAACCACAGCCAGGGUGCUCCUCAGGAUAGGGCAUCCUGACCAGCACCGAUCUUAGUCAGAAAGGGUCAAGUACUGAGAAGUUGUAACUAAGGGAUUCAGAGCAGAAAGAAGGUUAGCUGCUGUUUGCUCCACCGGCAGGGAAGGCAGACAGAGAUCCUUAUUUCCCCCCACCCUGCCCCCCACCCCGUGCAGAGAUGAGACAGCUGAGCCCCGCGUGGUCACCCCGACUGCACCCUGCAGCCUAACUUCCCUCCUGGGGAAAACAGGAAGAUUUGGGCUGGGCCCCAAACACUGCCUAGUAAACGGGGUUGUCAUAAGGUUCUGGUCAUUAGUAAUAAGCCUUUCAAACCAGUCCUAGGAAUCCAUAGGAAUGAUCCAGAAGGAGGCAGAGGUUGUCUGGAGAGAAAAUACAGCUCUUAACUAGAUAGACAGGAGGGGACAGGAGUGGGGGUGGUGGAAAUGGAUACACACAGAACGGGAGUUAAGGACACUGGUGAUGCUCUCUGGUCAGAGUGAGGACCUUGAGGCUGAUGAUGGCUAGUAUUUACUUAGCUCUUAGUGUGUGUCAGGCAUGCUCCAGGUGCCUUCCGGGGUUCACUCAGUUAGUCUGAUUAAUGACGACCCCAUGAUCUCUGUAUCUGCUCUGAUCCCCCUUCUGUCGACCAGGAAGCUGAAGCUCAGGGAUCAUUUCUGCUAGUAAGUGGCUGAGUCGUAGUAGAAUGUGUGUGUGUGUGUGCGUGCACAUGACAGAGAGCCUGUCACCAUUUCUGAUUUCCAUCAUUUCUUGAUUUCCGUUUCUUGAUUUCCUUCCCCUCUAAAACUGCAGUCUCCACAAUGUAAUUGAUGGAAAAAUGAAUUUAUUUCUUUUGGAUUUACGGGUUUGAUCAAUAAAGGACUCCGGAUCUUCUUAGGUUCUUUUGACUUUCAUAUUGCUGUACUCUUUGCUUCAGAGUUAUAGGAUUCAUAAAACAAACAAACAAACAAACAAACAAAAACACCAAAUCCAGCCCUAGAGAUUCAGGAUCUGAUUUGGCAGUGACUUGGGAGAGCAUCUUGCCCAGUGCCUCCCUCACUUGCAGCUUGGGGAAGCUGGGGAGGCCAACAGGAAGGAGGGGAGGUGGCAAGGCCAGCCUGUGGCCCAGCCAGAGCUAGACCCCCCGGCAGCUCUUCUGUGACCUCCCCGGGGGACCCCCCACUACCCCUCUCGCACUCCUCACCACUGACCCGCCCCUCCUGUGUAGAAACUGCUGUCUGGUCCAUUGCUGAUGAUGCCUAAAUUUAUCCUAAAUCCAUCCCUGUCACUCAGACCUUUCCAUGAAUUCAUGCUAGAGACCCUCAUGAGGUCAUCCCCUGGGCUCCAGCCCCACACAAACAGUGACUUCCCACCCAAAAGUGUCCCCUCAUCCUGUGGCUCCCAUGUGACCUGAUUGCCCUUGAUGGACACCCCAGCGUCACACUCCACACUUCUCUCUCCCCCCUUCUUCCCCUCCUCUGCCCUCCCACCACGUCCUCCAUCCAGCGGCAUCUGCUUCUCCGUGGUUCUCUCAAGUCCAUCCACCUCUCCAAGCUGGGAGAGUUCCUCAAGCCUCACUAUACAUGUCCCCACCUUCGUGAAGCACUCCCCAGCCCACCCUUCCCACCAGGCUGGGGUUUCAGGCUCAUCCUCUGGGCUGUCUCUGUCCCUGCACCUGGUCGGGGUCCUGGGGAUGACGUGAGAUACAGAGAGAGAUUUGUAGAACAUUUGACUCCCCCCCCACCCCAUGCCACCCCCCCCAGGACUUGGCACCCAUGUGGAUAGGGGAGAGGGGGAGGCGGGGGCCACUCGGGUGCGGGUCUCUGACUCUGAGAACCAGGUGGGCAGGUGGCACCGCCAUUCUUGGGUGCAGGACUCUUUCAUAAGGACAAAUUCCAUCUGGACACCUGGAUUUUGAAGGUCUGGGAGCACUCCAGUGUGAGAUUUUCUGUUGACUGUUGGCAUAGCAUUCAGGUGCUUUCAAAUCGUAGAUUCAGAAGUCUCUGGUGAUGUUAGACUUACAGAACCAGGAGAUGAUAGAACUUUAUACGCAGUCGAUGAUAAAAUCUUCAUGUAAUUCCAAAGAGCUCUAAAUAUACUCAAAACAACAUGGAUGAAUCUCCCAGAAAUUAUGUCAAGUGAAAAAAACCAGGCGCAAACGAGUCUGGACUGUAUUGUGUCAUUGAUGUAAAGUUCCCAGAACAGGCAAAGUAAUCUCUUUUUUUUAAGUAAGCUCCACGCCCAGCGUGGAACCCAACACAGGGCUUGAUCUCACGACCCUGAGAUCAUGACCUGAGCCGAGAUCAAGAGUGGGAGGCUUAACCGCCUGAGCCACCCAGGUGCCCCCAGCAAACUAAUCUUUAGGGAUAGAAAUCAGAGCAGUGGUUGCCUCUGCAGGAGUGGUGGGGUGAGGGGAUUGAAGAAGCAGGAGGGAAUCUUCUGGAGUGCCAGGAAUGUUCUAGAUCUUUAUUGAUCACAUGGGUACAUACACCUGUCAAAACUCAGAGACCUGUUCUCUUACGGUCUGUGUCUUUCACUGCAUGUUGAUAACUUGUAUUUAAAAGAUAAAGAAGAACAGCUCCAAGGACCCCCUCCCCUCUGUGUAAACAUGUCCCAUGAAGGGGAACCCAGUGCCUGCUUCGUAAGACACAGCCUGGGGACAGCAGGAGGACCCCGCUGGUAUGUUCCCAAGGGGGCCUGGCCGGCUUCUCCUUUGCUGCCACCACCCGUCCAGUCUUCCAGGGGCCGGUGACCCAGGGCUACAGGGCGGCCGAAGGACUAACACUGUGAUGGACAGGUGACCGGGGCUCGGGGUGGGGGGAGUGAAGCUCCCAUGUAGGACUCUCGCUGUCAACAGCUUGCAGUAUUUAUAGGUUGCUGAUGUCUUCCAUGUGGUGAUUCAUCCCUUCUACUUAAAUCUGUCAGUAUCUUUAGAACACAAAGCAGGGCAUUAAAAAACGCUCUGCAAAUGGGGAGAGAAGGUGGGCUGACAGGCCUGGUGUUUACAACCCAGACCAGGAACCAGCAAUUCAGAGUCCUGGAGUUUCUAAGUUGGAAGUUCAGGGACUGCUGAGCUUCCCCCACAAAACACACACACAGCCGUGCACACACACACACACUCACACACACACGCUGACCUCUAUUCUUGCUCUGGAGGGACCACACACACGAUAAGGCGUAUUUGGUGGCUCUCUUCAGCAAUCACAGACUUUUUCUUUGGAGGGUAGGUGUGGUUUGGGGAACAACCAAAAACAUGUAGAGGAGAAAAGCCUCAGCGUGUAAAGCAGUGUCCACAGUGUGACAGCAGACGGACACACCCGAGAUGACCCCCCCUCCCCCCGCCGCAGGCCUUGUCUGUGUAAUUCCCUCUCCUUGGGUGUCGCAGGCCCUGUGUCUUGCUUCUCACCAACAGAACGUGGCAGUGGUGACAGGAGUCCCUCCUGCGAUCAGGUGACGUCAUUUGGCGUUUACAUGUUUACAGCAGACUCCGUUUUAGCGGAUGGCAGCAAGAGACCCCGACUUUGAGGGAUAGGGACGUGCAGGGGGCCUGUGUUCAGAACUGCAGGGGCCUCUGGGAGCUCAGAGCGGCCCCCCAGCUGACACCCAGCAAGGAGGCCAAUCCCUAGUCCUGUAAGGGCAAAGCACCAAAGGAGCCUGGAAGGGGACGUCGGGCUCCCAUGAGACCCCAGCCCAGUGGACAGGCUGAUAGAGGCCGGUGAGCUCUGAGCAGAGGGCAGCUGGGCCUUGGGAGCUGUGAGACGAAGUCGGGUGUUAUUACUGCUGAGUUUGUGGGGAUUCGCUACACAGGAAGAGAAAGCUGGUGUGAGUGCUUUGCCACGUUAUACCAGGGGGAACUGGGCCUCCUCUCCGAGUCUGUAUGCAUGGAGACUCCUGGAGGACACACAGGGAGCUAGUAAGAGGGUCCUGCCCUGAGCGUGGGCUGGCGAUAGCCGGGCCUGUCUCUGUACCUCUCCUCGCUCUGCGGUUUCGCAACAUAUAAAUGUUGAACCCUACUCGGAAGGUGAGUAGCUGGUAACAGUGGCGGCUAACAGUUACUGAGGACUAUUUCAGGCACCAUGGAUGAAACAACUCGGUUAACCCUUACCGCCCCCCCCCCCGGGAGGUGGGGCUGCUAUCCCUUGCAUUGGACAGACAGGGAAACUGAGGCCCAUACACUUCCAUACUCAGUGUGCUUGGGCUCACGGACCCCUCCCCCGCCAGAGCUGGGAUGCGGACGAACACGCUGGGCUCCGGGCCUGAGCCCUUCCCUGCUCGGCCCCCUUCGGCCGGGUCUCACAGGGCAGCGAAGCGGGAGGUGCCCAGAAAGCCGCUCUUGCUGCCGGGAGGGCAGGAGCCACUGCGGACGCUGGGGACGUGUGGUGGCGGGAGCCUCACCUGGCACGCCGUGAGUGCUGGCUAAACCCCCCAUCAGAGCCCGACAGGCUCCAAACGUUAUAACCUGCAGUUAACGCCCAACAGUCAGACCCGGGAGGAGGCUCCUUUACGUUCUGGACACUUCCUUGCGUUGACCUUUGUAAUUGACAUUCUAUGCCUUAGCACCUACUCCUGUCCCUUCUCUCAUUUCUGAGUCUCCUUUGAUUAAAAAAAAUGUUCUUUAAAAAGGACUUUACGUAUCCCAUGAAGAUGGAGACGUUUCUAACCUUGUUAUUUUACAUAUAGGAGUUGGGUUUCGUCGGCAGGUUCUUGAGUUUCUAUAUGUCAUUAUAUUAUUUUUGGAAGGCCAUAUGCAAGGAUUGUCUCAUAGGAACCAUUUCUGAUCUCAGGGUGUUUUUCUUUAGUUAAUAGAAACCACGGUUUAUAAAUCAGGCAUAUGAAGAUGGCAUUUCCCUCAGCUUCCAGGGUGAUGCCAUGAUAAAAUCCACAGCUUAGGUCUUUAUGCUUUUUCUUUUCUUUUUUUGGUCUGCUUUUCCUGAGGAGACAGCUCUCCAAACAACCUCUUCAGGAGAUGGGAGACCUGUGUUCCUGCUAGCAGUACUCUCGUGCCCAGAUGCCCCUGCAGAAAUUUCCGUUGUUUUAUGUGUCUCCCAACAGCGAAGUAUCCUUCUUACAUCGUCCCCGCCCCCACCUGUGUGGUUUUCAUUUUAUUCCUCUUCUCUCUCCCUUCCCCUUCCUCUAGUGGGGUGUCUCGAAUAAUGCUUAUAAGGGUGGCAGAGCAGAGGGGUCCACACCAAAAUUUCACUCCUGGGUUUGCCACUCUCUCGUUAGCUGUGUGUCCUUGGGUAGUUACUAAACCUCUCUGAUGCUUAGGUUCCUCACUAGCAAUGGGAUCACCUCUACACCUGCAUAGCAUUGUUGUGAUAGAUGAAAUCUUUUUUUUUGAAGAUUUUAUUUAUUGGGGCACCUGGGUGGCUCAGUUGUUAAGCGUCUGCCUUUGGCUCAGGUCAUGAUCCUAGGGUCCUGGGAUUGAGCCCCGCACUGGGCUCCCUGCUCGGAGGGAAGCCUGCUUCUCCCUCUCCCACUCCCCCUGCUUGUGUUCCCUCUCUCCAUGUGUCUCUCUCUGUCAAAUAAAUAAAUAAAUAAAUAAAUAAAUAAAUAAAUAAAUAAAUAAAUAAAUAAAUGAUUUUAUUUAUUUGAGAGAGAGACAGUGAGUGUGCAAGCAGGUGGAGGGGAGGGAGAGGCAGAGGAGAGAGAGACUCUGCUCUGAGCAUGGAGCCUGAAGCAGGGCUCGAUCCCACCACACUGAGAUCAUGACCUGAGCCAAAAUCAAGAGUCAGAUGCUUAACCGACAGAGCCACCCAGGCGCCCCUGGGAUAGACGAAAGUCUUUACACAAGGCGGCCACUAUGACGAUUGUUGUGAGUAGUCCUGAAUCAGCCCUUGGCACAGUGAGACUAGACUUCGGGGGAGCCUCCUCCAUUGGAUUGUCAGCGUGCUCAGUAUGUCACCAUGAGUCAUUCUAUGCAACCUGAACAGGUGUCUCAGGCCAGGCGCACACCAGCCCUGAGGUUGAACCCUUGUAGGCCUGGAUAGCCCGGAAUCCUUCCUUCUAGGGUGAUAUCUGUGCGUCUACCAAUGGCUAGGGUCCGCUGAAGAAAAUCCCAGGUGUUCAAACCAUUACAAGUUUCCUGUGACUGGCUGCAAAGGUGAAGGCUGAAAGGGUUUGCAGAGAAAAUAUCGCUGGUCCUUUCCCAUCUUGCUUAUGUGUUUAAGGUACGGUGGAAAAUUGAGGACGAGCUGGGAAAUGUGUAAGUGCACACGCAGAUCCCCUCACGUGCUCCACAUGUAACUCUGAGGGACUUCAGGCAAAGAGGCCGGGAACAAGUCAAUAUGGCUGCUACUCCAGGCUCUUGGCCGGGUGAUGGCUUCGCCCGUGCGUGCAUGGGUAGACUACGUGGCUUUCCUGGCUCACAGGGACGGCCUUCUUGCCACAGCCCUGACACCCAGGAAUGGUCCCUGGGCCUGGAAGUGUGUUCUGUGACCUGCCUCCCUGACCAUGGUGGGCUGGUCCACAGGGUGACCACUCACCCCAGUUACCUGCCUUCUCUCUAGGGCUAGGAGGAUUACGUGGUCACCACUGUCCCUCCCUUCCCAGUCCCCCAUGGAUACAGGAAGGUGGGGGCUGGCCACCGAGCUGUGAUGUCUGACCCGGGCCUUAAAAGCAGGUAGGGGUUGUCUGGGCAGAAGAAGGGGAGGGUAAAAGGAAUGAGCACCAUGGAGCACUGGGGAGAAAGCGCAGAGACCUGGGAAAGCCAGGAGGCAUAUUCGGGGGCCAAGAGGUUGGAGAGGUGCCAAAAGCCAGACUCAACUUAGGGCCCCUGCUGGUGGGCUCAGCAUAGGGUGGGGUCUGACAUCCCCCGAGACCAGCAGCAUCUCAUCCAGCCACUGACCAAUGCCCUUUGCACCCUGAGCAACGGAGCAGCUCGAGUGGACCACAGGCCUGGAUUCGGAAGGCCCCCCGCCUCGCACCGCGCACCUGCCUCUCCAGCAUCCAGAAAGUUGCAGUCAGCUCUGUGUCUCCCUGCCUUUUACACUGAAUGUGCGUCCUUUGCUCUCCCUUUGUAUCUCUCUGUUGGGGAGCCGGCAAAGCAGAGGCCCCUGGGGUGUUUUUAUUUCCUGGAAGCUGAGAAAACUAACGUGUGCGAUGUACUUUAGUGGGUAAUCUUCAGAAAACCCAUAAGUGUGUUAUUUAAAAACCAGUUUCAUUUCCUUUUAAACAUGGCAAAGUCACUGGUCUGAAUUCAAGGACUCCAGCAUCUGAGGUUUGGUGUGGCACACGGGUCACAGGGAAAGAAAGGAAGGGAAAGGCAAAAUGCUGUUUGGGUAUUGAGACCCACAGGGAGACACCUGGUGGGUAGGGGGGAGCUCUGAGGGAUUCCAGGGUCAGUUUCAAGUUAAGGAACCAUUUCUGAUUUUACCCUUCGAGCAAAGCCUCCCACUAGACCAGAGCCGUGUGGUCGGGAAUACAGGCUCCAGAGUUCCCUGGGAAUUACUGCAGGAGCCCCAUCUACACAUUCCCAAUCCAGUAAAUGCUCCCCGGGCCUCCUCUAAUGCUUACUUCACGGUGGGGAGGGGCCAGGAUGGAGUCUGGGUCACAGCCAGGCGCAGAGAGUGAUUUGGACUUGCAGGAUCUUUGAAUCCUAGACUCAGAAGUCAGAGCCCGUCCUGUCUCACGCCCACUUGAAAGCCAGCCCCCUGCAGGGCCUUAGGUGCUUGCAAGACUUGGAACCAGCUUUAUCCCUCCCCAGGGACACUCUGAGCACACUUCUCUCCCAGUGCACCUGGCAGUCCACCACCCUGACCGUGAGAGUCCAGGAUCUCCCUUUCCUGGGAUCCCAGCGCCUCCCACUGCACACCCCACAGCCUCAAUGUCUUCUGUGCUGAGCUCCCAAACCCUAAACCUCACUCUCGAUUGCCUAUGGGUCUUUUCCUCCUUUUGCUCAGAACUACUCUCCCCAUCUUCUCAUAUUUCAAAUCUCAAUUUUAAAUGACACUUCCAUGGGGAGCCCCUCCGUGAUCCCUGGAAGAUAGUGAGCCCCUGCGCCACCCCCGGCCAGGGUUACGGAGCCUGGCCUCCAGCGGUCCACACUGGCCACAGUUGGUGUGGCCAACUGAGCCACAGGUGGGCGAUGACAAGGAGGCACGGGGCGUACCCGAGUGCUGAGAAGGAUGGGCAGCCCCUUCCUGGAGGCCUCGAAGGUGGCCCGAGGAGGUGGACAUGGGGGCUGGUGCCUGAAGAGUGGCUCUGAGUCAACCAAACAGGAGAGAAGGAGGAUGUUAGAGGCAGAGGGCACAGGGCGAGCAGAUAGUAAGCAAGGGUCUCUCGAUUUAGGGGCUGACUUCAGGGUGCUUGGUGGGGAGCAGAGGGAGAUGACAAAGGGCUGGGUGGGUCUGAUGGGACCAGGGUUCAUUCAAUAAGCCGUUAUGGAGAGCCUUUGACACACCAACUCCUGUCCGGGUUAGCCUCGAAUCCCGAGGGUGCGGGUGGGUGCAGAGGGCAGACAGCAUCCCUGGGGCCCCCCUGCAGAGUGAUGCACAUCGGGGGAGGGGAGACAGGCCGGCUGGUGCAGGGUGCUGGGGACACCUCCCAGGAGGCUGGAGGAUGAGCUGGCGCCCAGAAACCUGGAAACGGUCCUACUAGAGACAGGAUGGGCUGCAUGUGGGGGCUGGGGAGGAGCCAGGGUCCUGGCCACCCGGGGCUUUGCCUUAAAAAAACAGGCCAGGAUGGUCUGGGGAGGGGCAGUUUGGAGGGAGUGCACCAGGACUGUGAUGUGAGCCCGAGGUGCCUGCUGGGGAGGGCUGGCCAGAGGAGGUGGUCGAUGGCUGUGCAUGGAGCUUAGGGACAGUUCGGGGCUGCUGGGUGUUAGAGCCACGGGGAGGCCACAGGCUGGCCAGGCUGGCAGAGAGGAGAGGCUCAGGCCGGGCUGGCAGAGGGAGCCCCACCCAUGGAGCCAAGCAGGGGGGCCAGGGAGGCUGGGGCCCCAGAGCCGGGAGAGGAAUGGGGACCAGGGCCUCAGCGGCCCUGAAACACCCUCUUUGUCUUCCAUGAUGUCACGGUUCCUGGAUCUUCCCCACCUUUCCCUCAAUACAUUCCUGGACAGGAAGGGUUUUUUUGUGGGGUGGGUGGACACCCAUACAUACGAGGGGACAGCAGUAAUAACUAAUUGUCUGCUCCUGGCACUGUCCUAGCUGCUUUCCCCCACUGACAGCCUCCCAGAGGCAGGCGGUGCAAAUAUGCUCAUUGGGCCAUUUUACAGAUGACAAAACCGAGUCAUCGAGAAGCUGGGGGGCUAUCCCGAAGCCACAUAGCAGGCCUUGGUGGAGGCAGGACCAGAACACAGAGGCAAGGUCUCCUGAGUCCAGAUCUGUUUCCCCCACACAGUGCUCGGCCGAGGUCCAGAAUGAACAAGCCCCUGCUGAGAAGAGGCCGGGGUGGGGGGUGCACGCGGGGCCGCACCAGCUCGUGCUGGGAGCGCACCGCCGGAGCUCCGAGCCCGUCAUCUCAGGGUUGCAGGCCACAGGUGACACGCGGGCUUGCCACCUGUGCACCUUGUGGACAGAGGUUUUCACGGCGCCUGAGACCCGUGUCUGUCCUGCAGGGAGGAGACUCCGAACAUGGGAACCUUGGGAGGAAGGCGCUGGCUCAGCCUGGACGUUCACACCUCGGGGGAGAGCAGUAUCUUUGCUUGGGGUCUUUUCCCGCUUACAGUUUCCCCGCGAUCCUAACCUGCAGGAAGCCUCUAGGCUGUUUUCCCCUUGCACUGGAACCCGCCCCUGCACACCCAGAAACUCGUUCGUUCCGCGUGAAGAAAAAUGGCACCUAAUUAAGAUUUGAUGUGCUUUUGCCGUUCUUUGAAACUUAUUUCCCUCUGCAGGUUAAUAAUCUCGAUCAAUCACCCCUUUCAGGGCAAAUAAUUCGCUCUGGGAGACAGUGGCAGUUUGAAUUGUACCUGAUUUACCUUAAAUGGCUUUGAACUUUUAAAACAUCCCCCUUUAACUGUGGAGUUGAAACAGCUCAGAAUCCUUAUAAUGAUUGUAAUUACAGCUGCGGUUUAGUUAGUGCCAGUGACGUUCUGGACUUUUCACAUCCAUCCUGUCUGCUUCCCAGAAAACGUCUGCAAGCCAGGAAUUAUGAGAGAGAGAGAGAGAUCUUCAUUAGGGAAAUAUAUCUCAGAGAGAUUAAAUAACUUACUCAAGUUCACCCAGCCGGCCAGAUCUGACCUAAGAUUUGAAUCAGGCCUGUCUGCCUAUGCUUCCUUCACUGCCCACAGAGGCUCUGAUUCAAGGAUAUGGGAGCCAGGGAAGAUUUAAUCUUGUCCCCCACCCCUCUGGCUUUGUGGGUGAGCAUACCCGCCCUCCAAGGGGAGAUGGGGACAGUUGCAGAGUUCUAGGAAGGGAAGUGAGGGUUCAUUUCCCUCCCAAGCUGUGCAGGAUGACUGAGGGGAUAGGAAUGUCUGUGCUUGGAGGGUGGAGGCAGAGAGGAGGGAGGCUGGGGUCAGGCUAGACCCAGAUGGACUAGAGACCCAUGUGCAGGGGGUGCCAAGGAAAAGGAGCGUGCCUGGAAGGGGACAGGUUGCUGGCAGGCUCAGAGCAGCAGAAAGAGCAGGCUGGCGGGGGCCACCAGGUACUGUCCCAACAGCUUCUGCCCCAUACCACGCCCCUUCCAGGUUCCUGCUGGUUUCACUUGCCUUGAUGUUACAGGUGCUUGUAGCCCGGGGGUGAGCGUGAGCUUGGGGAAUUUGAGGGACUGCUAGGGUCCGGUGUGGCUGGAGUGACUGGUGAGGCCAGCAGGGGAGGGCGCGAGCUCACAGAAGUUCUCCAUCCUGGGGCUGAUGAGUCUGAGCUGGGGAGGCAUAUGUGCAAAUCUGUGGCCUCGUGCUGAAUGAGCUGAUGGAGGCAAAGGCUAGGGGCAGCGGGGCCAAAGGAGUUACUGAGGUGAGAGAAGUAUUGCAGAUAGCAACUGACACCUGAAGAGCCAUUUUGGAGUGGGACCUGGGGACAGAUCGUCCGUGGGGGUGAGAGCCAGCUCAGGGAUGAUCCCAGCCUUCUGACCAGCGUGGGUGCUAGGCCGUUCACCCAGGUCCAGAUGCAGGAGGAGGAGGGGGCUUGGGGAGAAGCAGGGAAUUCUGUUUGCUUCACCUGGGGGUGGUCCCCGCAGACUGAUACCUAGAGAGUUCCGGAGAGUUCUCUGCCAUAGAGAUACGGUAGCAAAUGGUCAUUUCCCUCCCCCAGUUCAGGCAAAAUCCUAACAGCCAAGCAUCAUAACACUGAGAGCAGUAUUAAAAAGAUUAAAUAAAUAGGGGCACCUGGGUGGUUCAGUCCGUUGAUCCUGGUUUUGGCUCAGGUCAUGAUGUCAGGGUUGUGAGGUCGAGCCCCACGUCCAGCUCUGCACUCAGCUUGGAGUCUACUUGAGAUUCUCUCUCUCUCUCUCUCUCUCCCUCUGCCCCUCCCCUCCACUCACACACGCUCUCUUCCAAAUAAAUAAGUAAAUAAAUAAAUAAAUAAAUAAAAUCUUAAAUAAAUAAAUAAAAAGAUUAAAUAUAUCAAUAUAUUUAAAAUAUGUAUAGUUUAAGAUAUUUAUUUAGAAGUAUUUAUAUUUAACAUAUCAUAUAUUUUAUAUUAAUACAUAUUACAAGUAUAUAAAUAUUAAUAUUAAAAAUUAAAAUUUAAAACAAUAUAUUUAAAAAAACAAAAACAAUAUAUAUUUUUAAAGAUUUUAUUUAUUUAUUUGAGAGAGAGAGAACACACAAGUGGGGGGAAGGGCAGAAGCAGAGGGAGAAGCUAACUCCCCGCUGAGCAGAGAGCCUGACGAAAGGCUCGAUCCCAGGACCCUGGGAUCAUGACCCAAGCCAAAGGCAGACGCUUAACGACUGAACCACCCAGGUGUCCCUAAAACAAUAUUUUUAAAAAACCUCUGGACGCAAUUUGGUUCCUUUGCCCUGAGUCUUGGAUUGGCACUACUCUGCCUAAUCUGACGCUAUUUGUUUAAUCCUAGGCCUGCUUUAUUACCUGUUAUUAUUUUUUUUACUUGAACAUUGCUGACACACAAUGUUGCAAGAGUGUGAGGUGUACAGCAUCUGGCAAGUCUAGACGUCACAUGAUGCUGGCCCCGAGCGCAGCUCCCAUCCGUCACCGUGCAUCUCUAUCACGAUGCCAUCAGUUCUACUCCUUCUACUGUGCCUUUCCCCUCCGUGACUUAGUCAUUCCAUCGCUGGAAGCCUGGACCAGGCUCCCUUCCCCCGUUCUGCGCAUCGCCCCUCCCGGUUCACUUCAACUCGCUUGUCUUGUCCUCACUCCAUGCUGGGGGCCUCGUCCCGCUUUGACUCACUCAGAGCAGAUGGGGACCCACUUCCUCCAGCUGAUGGAAGUUUCCUCUGUCCUUCCACUUAGCGUGCUUGCCCGUUGAUGCUAAUU